rnacentral:rRNA from 1 species
GACGAACGCUGGCGGCGUGCUUAACACAUGCAAGUCGAACGGAAAGGCCCUGCUUUUGUGGGGUGCUCGAGUGGCGAACGGGUGAGUAACACGUGAGUAACCUGCCCUUGACUUUGGGAUAACUUCAGGAAACUGGGGCUAAUACCGGAUAGGAGCUCCUGCUGCAUGGUGGGGGUUGGAAAGUUUCGGCGGUUGGGGAUGGACUCGCGGCUUAUCAGCUUGUUGGUGGGGUAGUGGCUUACCAAGGCUUUGACGGGUAGCCGGCCUGAGAGGGUGACCGGGCACAUUGGGACUGCGAUACGGCCCAGAAUCCUACGGGAGGCAGCAGUGGGGAAUAUUGCACAAUGGGCGGAAGCCUGAUGCAGCAACGCCGCGUGCGGGAUGACGGCCUUCGGGUUGUAAACCGCUUUCGCCUGUGACGAAGCGUGAGUGACGGUAAUGGGUAAAGAAGCACCGGCUAACUACGUG